AGGAGCCUAUAGUUAUCUUCCUGUGUAUAGAUCGCCUCUUUUGAAAUUCUGAAUUUUUACAUCCCACAAAUACUGAUACAUAAAUACAUCUCAAUUUUCUCAGACAACCAACCCAUAUAUCUGUUUAGUAUGUAUUUUAUCUAUCCUUGGUUGGCUAUACUGAUUUGUUUCAUCAAUGUAAACAAUAGAUAAUUCAGACAUUUACUUUGCUCUCAUUAAAAGUAGCAUAUGCUCAUUAGUACCUCCGUUUCCACCCAUGUUUUCUUUCCUGAAACAACAUAACUAACAAAAAAUCCUAGGUACAUGUAACAAAUGCAAGUUGUUGUUUAUUUACAAAAUAAGGCAUGAGGAAGGCGUAUGGUUGCCUAUUCUUCUCCAAGCUGAUUGUCUAAAUCUUGCUAUUGUUGAUGCAAUAUAUGAUCCACUUUGCAAAAAAAAUUGAUGCAUUUUACUUGAUGCAUCAUGCUAUGGUUUUAUCCACUAAUGUAUCCAUUACCCACCCUAUCCUAAAUGAUGUGAUUUUCUCUGGAAUUCCUUUAGAUGCAAAGGUGGUUCAAGGUUAUGAUACUAUUUGCAAAUCAAUGGGCCAUCUAGAUUGACUGUACUCUCCAGAAUUUAUUCAUAAUGUCGGUCUUAGCAACUUCCUGCUUCAUGAGAUAUCUUCCAGGAUUGUUGUUCUAAUAAUGCUAUUGAGAAGUAUUAAUCAUUCCAUUGGGAUAUGCAAUGGUAUCUGUCUCAUUGAUAUGAGAUUAGGCGAAUGCUUCUGGAGGACAGGAUUAUGGCUGAAAGCUAUCAAGGAGAGUGUGUAUACUGUUUUUAAGUGGCCUUUCCCUUUGCAACACCGGUACUAUUCAAUUAAUCUAUGCAUUGAUUAUAAUAAAGGUAAAGGUAAGAUUCUUGAUCACAUUGGUGUCUACUUGGUACACAUUUUUCACUGACAGUUUUAAGUUGCUGCCGCGAGAGCAACAUCAAGAAAAAGGCUUUAGAUACUUGCACUAGAUGACACUGGUGCACCAUCUAGUGAGACAAUAAAUAGUGUGUACGAUGAAAUUAGUGACCACCUGUAGAGGGUAUACAUCGGCUCCAGCAAAUUAGAUGGACGGAGCUACAUGUCUAGCUUAUCCUUCUGUUUGCCAGUGCCUUAUGAUGAAGCUUUUUGUCAUAACAGACGGUGCCUUAUACCGAGUUUUUCUGUAAUGUCAACGACCGGUAGUCUGUACCGAGUCUUUUGUAAUGAUGUGUUCAGUUUGUACAGAUAUUGUGCUAUGUAAUUAGUCUAUGCUUCUCAAUCAUUUCCUGUUUAAACCGUACCACAACUAAUCAGAUUGUCUUAAUGAAUAACA